CUCCAUUCUUCGAUUAUGCUUUUUUUUUCGUUUAAAUUUCUUUUUUUGUUGUUGUGUAAUUUUUUUUUGCUGUCGAAAGGAGGGCAUAGUGGCAAGAUCAGAAUCAAUAAGUUCACAAAUAGCAGCCUGAAAAUUCUCUGCUUUUUUUCUA
rnacentral:ribozyme from 13 species